rnacentral:rRNA from 1 species
GAUGAACGCUGGCGGCGUGCUUAACACAUGCAAGUCGAACGGAAAGGCCCCUGCUUGCAGGGGUACUCGAGUGGCGAACGGGUGAGUAACACGUGGGUGAUCUGCCCUGCACUUCGGGAUAAGCUUGGGAAACUGGGUCUAAUACCGGAUAGGACCGCAUUUUGGAUGGUGUGGUGGAAAGUUUUUUCGGUGUGGGAUGAGCUCGCGGCCUAUCAGCUUGUUGGUGGGGUAAUGGCCUACCAAGGCGUCGACGGGUAGCCGGCCUGAGAGGGUGUACGGCCACAUUGGGACUGAGAUACGGCCCAGAUUCCUACGGGAGGCAGCAGUGGGGAAUAUUGCACAAUGGGCGGAAGCCUGAUGCAGCGACGCCGCGUGGGGGAUGACGGCCUUCGGGUUGUAAACUCCUUUCGCUAGGGACGAAGAGUAAUUGACGGUACCUGGAGAAGAAGCACCGGCUAACUACGUG